rnacentral:rRNA from 1 species
GUGCUUCGUGAGUUGUAGACUUCGGUCUGCUACCUCUUACCCAUGUCUUUUGAGUACCUUCGUUUCCUCGGCGGGUCCGCCCGCCGAUUGGACAACAUUCAAACCCUUUGCAGUUGCAAUCAGCGUCUGAAAAAACAUAAUAGUUACAACUUUCAACAACGGAUCUCUUGGUUCUGGCAUCGAUGAAGAACGCAGCGAAAUGCGAUAAGUAGUGUGAAUUGCAGAAUUCAGUGAAUCAUCGAAUCUUUGAACGCACAUUGCGCCCCUUGGUAUUCCAUGGGGCAUGCCUGUUCGAGCGUCAUUUGUACCUUCAAGCUCUGCUUGGUGUUGGGUGUUUGUCUCGCCUCUGCGUGUAGACUCGCCUUAAAACAAUUGGCAGCCGGCGUAUUGAUUUCGGAGCGCAGUACAUCUCGCGCUUUGCACUCACAACGACGACGUCCAAAAGUACAUUUUUACACUCUUGACCUCGGAUCAGGUAGGGAUACCCGCUGAACUUAAGCAUAUCAAUAAGCGGAGGAAG